AAACAGCUGGCCUCUUGUCCAUUGUCAGAAUGAAAAUGUUAUGAAAGCAGACCAAAAGACAGAGACCUCAAAGUGAAUGUACAUUUAAAAUGCACGAUUGAUUAUUUAAGGAAUCUGUGAGACUUCUGGAUUCUGUACACAGAAUGAGAAAGUGGAAAAGCAACUAUUGCAUAUACAUCCCAUUUUACCCUCCAGAGCUCUCCCAUUGAUUCAAGGAAAACUGAUUGAAGAAAAUGUACUCAUUAUGCAUGGACAAAGCUUGUAGAAAGAAAUAAUAGGCUCUUGAACAGCUGAGAAGGAAGUUCUAACCUCAGAGUACCACGAG
rnacentral:lncRNA from 1 species